rnacentral:rRNA from 1 species
CUGUGAGGGGAGUGAAAUAGAUCCUGAAACCGUAUGCGUACAAGCAGUCGGAGCGGACUUGUUCCGUGACGGCGUACCUUUUGUAUAAUGGGUCAGCGACUUCGUCUCACGAGCAAGCUUAAGCCGAUAGGUGUAGGCGCAGCGAAAGCGAGUCUUAAUAGGGCGACCGAGUUCGUGGGAUGAGACCCGAAGCCGAGUGAUCUAGCCAUGGGCAGGUUGAAGGUGCGGUAACAGGCACUGGAGGACCGAACCCACUGUCGUUGAAAAGCCAGGGGAUGACUUGUGGAUCGGAGUGAAAGGCUAAUCAAGCCCGGAGAUAGCUGGUUCUCCCCGAAAGCUAUUUAGGUAGCGCGUCGCGUGAUUACCGCCGGGGGUAGAGCACUGGAUGGGCUAGGGGGGCGCGAGCCUUACCAAACCUAACCAAACUCCGAAUACCGGUGAGUACAGCACGGCAGACAGACGGCGGGUGCUAAGGUCCGUCGUCGAGAGGGAAACAGCCCAGACCGCCAGCUAAGGUCCCCAAGUCACGUCUAAGUGGGAAAGGAUGUGGGAAGGCCAAGACAACCAGGAGGUUGGCUUAGAAGCAGCCAUCCUUUAAAGAAAGCGUAACAGCUCACUGGUCUAAAUAAGCUGUCCUGCGCCGAAGAUGUACCGGGGCUAAAGACGUGUACCGAAGCUGCGGAUGUGACAUCUCUUCGGGGAUGUCAUGUGGUAGCGGAGCGUUCCGUAGGCCGAUGAAGGUCGCCUGUAAGGGCGG